AUUUGAGGUUCUGGUGUUCUGUUCCAGUUCAAAAUGCUACAAUGUAACUGUUCCCGCUUUGUGCCUGUUUUAGAAACUAGAACGUCCGCAAAAUGAAGGGGGGGGGGGCCGGCGGCGGAGUUAAGGAUGAGUCAAAUUCAAGAAGGAAUUAAUGGGAAGGCAGCGUGGAGAAAGGAUAACAUUCACGGAUUAAAGGCAGGCCAACCUAGAAAGCCCUCAGCUCUUCCUCGGGAGGAGAUACUGGCAACUGGGGAGAAUCAGAGACAACUUCAAGGAAGAGGUGGGACGGGAGCCCAUGGUGUCCAGGUCCAGCCUUGCUGAUGCUCUGGUGAAGAGGGAAUCUCCUGCAAUGGUUACCGAAUUCUAGCCGUAGUUGAGGCCCAGCACCUUGGAAUGCAUGAAGAAGACUGCUGUAAAGCCCCCAAGCCCUGCCUCUGAUACAGACUGAGUGACUGUGGCCAUGUUAUUUAACCUGCAAUUACAAGGCACAGACUUGGGGCAUCCAUUCUACUCUCUUCUCAGUUUCUUCAUCUCUAACUUCACGGGAUGUGUACAGGAAACAGAGCAGAAACUUUGAGAGGUCUGGAGCUCCAACCCUACUGUGACCUUGGACAAACCAAUUAACCUCCAAGGGUAUCAGCUUCUUCAUCUGUAAAAUGACAGAGUGGGACUAGCUGGCCCCUUCCAUCCCUAGAUCAAUGGUCCUAGAUUUUUUUUUUAUUUUAGUCUUUUAAAAAAUUUUAAUAAACAUUUUAACUUAAA